GCUUCUCAUCAGACAUAACCACCAAGAACCUGGCCAGCCAGGAAGCUAGAGUCCAAACAGGCCAGCCUUCCUGAACACACAGCCCAGGGGCAUGAGGUAAAUGAAAGUGGGGAGCAAAAUCAUACGAAGAUAUGUUCCACCAAAAUGAGGAAGAAGGGAGAGAGAAAGAGAGAGAGAGAGAUACAGAAAAGGAAAAGAAUUCCCAUGAUGAUGUUGAAGAAAA